rnacentral:lncRNA from 10 species
CUGCAAGCAGUGAACUGGAGAAACAUCCAGCACUUACUGCUCUACUAUAAGGAAAGAAAUACUCUUAUCAACUGGACAUCCAUAUAGUAGCCACUGUGGAUGUUCCAUGUGCCCAAAGAGUAUGGUGUGCAGAUCAAAGUCAAGGGCAAAACUGUCUGCACGUAUAUCUGAGGGUUCUGUCCAUUUUACAAUUCAGGUGCAUUUUAGAGUCAUCCAAGCUAGUAGCUGCGUCAUAGCCCUAGCAAUGUUAUGUGUGUUCUACAAAUGAAAGAUUUACCAUUAUUUGAAAUUCUUCAUUUCAAAAAGUUUAAAUGGAUUUGAAAUCUAUUAUAACUAUCACAAGAAAUGCUAUCAUUAGAUUAUUAAUGAAAGAAAGAUCUGUAGGAUUCUUUCUAUGUAUAUAACUUCAAUAGUCCCUGCAGGGAGCCGAAGGCCCGUAGGAUGUGACCAACUCAGUAGUCCACUGGAGGAUAUGAUUAAACAGCAAACUGUUUAUCAUGAAUGCAGGAUGUGGGCAAACUCACACUGCCCUGCCACCAAAAGGUUUGCUGAGGGACAUCACUCCCUGGCACCCGGCUCCUUGAAGUUAUCUACUGAGAAAUCUAGCACCUAUUAUCCAAAGGAUGCAGUCUUGCCUGCUGUGAACCAAAUUGCUGACUGACAAUUACCCAACAAUCACACCCCCCACCCCGAUCUCUUUUGCCUAAUAAAUAUGGAGGGCUGUGUAAAUCUCAGGGCCCUUGUGCACUAGAGGCAAGGUGCCCCCCGACCCCUUCUUACAAAUAUACUCUUGUCUCUUGCCUUUGAUUCCUGUGUUCGCCCCCCUUUGUUCAGUCCACCAGGUCUGUACAGGUUACAAGUCCCAAAUUUUUGAAUGGUUGUAAAAUGUGUUUAAAUGAUUUGUCCAUGUCUGUAUAAGCAGAUUUUUAUUGAUGGUGACUAUUAAGAAUUUGAAAAUGUAAUUAAAAAGUCUUGAUAAGGAGCUGUGUGUAGCCCUUUCAAGCAUAAAAUCCAAUUUUUAAACAGAUAUAAGCUCAAGUUUCUCAUUAAAGGUUUUCAACAAUUCUUUUUUGCAAAUUUUACAUGUAUUUAGUAUCUAAAUUUCCUUCUAAACUUUGUGCUGUAUUACCUUGCAUAUGAAAACUGUUUCAAAUUUUCCCCAGGCUCCAUAUGAAAGCACUUGAAUCCCUCCAGUUUAUCUCAGUGCCUUAGACUGGAUCUUCUAGAAACAGAGAAUUCCAGGUAGAAGGUUUAUUGGAGAAUGCCCUCAGGAAAUAUACCUAAAGGAAGUGAAGAUGGAGGCAAGACUGGACAGAGGGAGAAGCUGACUCACAUUGCAGUUACAAGUGAGGCCUCAGCUUAUCCUACUUGGAGCCCUAGAGCUGAAUGAACUUCUAGAGUUGUUUUAAAUUGAGGUGAGGGACUGAGCCUGUGUAUUUAUUCCCCAUCAGCCAUUCAUUAUGCUUGCUGGCAGAGGGCAUAACCUUGAGUGAGGCACACUAUGAAAUGUCAGAAGCCUAUUUCCGCAACAGCUUGGAGAUGGAUGUGAAAUGAACUGCAGAUUCUGAGCGCAGUUUUACAAGCACAACUUGAGUCUGAGUUCUAGCUACUGCCCAGUUGUGUGACCUUGGCCAACACUGUGUUAGAUUAAUGGAAUCCUCACCGAAGUCCUCCGUCGAUUUGUGAGUUUCAGGAAGAAGAGAUCAGAGGCUCUACUGGAGGAGAUCAUCAAAUAUCAAGAUAUUCUGAGAAUGACCAGAACUGAAUAUGACAGUUCCAGUCUCUUCAGAUAAUUUACAUCAGCCAAUGUCCAAAGAAGUGAAAUAACUUAUUCAAGAUAACACUGCAGGGAGUCAUUCUGCAGACGAGGAGAUGUGAAAAUCCAAGGACCUUGGGGUCAAUUUCACUCAGGCAACAGCCUGGAGAAUAUGAGCCAUAAUUUAUGGAGAUUUAAGAAUUAAUAACAAAAACAUAUCAAAUGCUAAUGACAAAUUCAGAGCUGAAAUGAAACACAAAACCAAGAAUCGGUGCUUAGCAGAAUUUGGUAUGAAGCAGAAAGAGAAAAGUAAAAUUAGCAGAUCAAGGCUUCCAGAAAGGUGGAUGCGUAUGAGGUCCCUAGCCCCAGUACCCUCACAGAAACACAGUUUAGCAACUAUUCAUAGAAAAGAAUGCCUUUGUGAGAAUUCCAAAAGUUGAGCACCCUGGUAGAGUGAAAAAAAUUGCAUUAAAAAAGAUAAAAAUAACCCUUCUUUGUCAGAAGCAAUCCUGCCCAAUCCAGCACAACACAGAGCCAAGAAAGAUCCUGUUGACCCGUGAUUUCUUCAGUGGAGUAAAGAGAGAUCAUGGUGGAUGUUGAACUUCCCCAGCAUUUCAGGGCAUUGCUCUAGAGACCCACUUAUGCCUCACCUCAUAUCACACACUGGGGAAAUUGGCAUGGCUAGACCACCUGGGAACAAUCAGGAAUAACAGAAAGAGGCAGGGGCUCUCAGCAGCCAGUGCAUACAGAUCUCAGAGGCAGUCCCACAGCCCCUGUGAGCAGCCUUGCCUGACUGUGGCCCUAACCAACAACUCCAUCAAACCAAAGAGUCAAGUCGGCUGGCUCCACCCAACUAUAGAGCUCAGAGAGCAGGCUCACAUAACCUUAGAGCCCAGGCAACCAGCCCCACCCACCUGUGAAGCCCUACCAGACAACCAUGCUCAAAAGUAAAACUUUGGUAACAGGCUCCAUUUAACCAAGAAUUCAACAGGCCCUGUUUCAACUUUGAACCCAAUGGACCUCACUCACAGGCCUCACUUGCCCACAGAUAACUGCCAUCUGGCCCACCCAGAGUCCUAAGCUAGGCUGACUAGUGAAAGUCUUUCCCUGCUAAGAACAGACUAUAAAGACUGGAAGAGAGAACCACUUCUUCAAAUGUGCAGACAUAAAUGUAAGAAUAUAAGGAUCAUGAGAAAUUAAGGAAACUUGAUAACACCAUAGGAAACUAAAAAAGUUUCAAUAAUUGACCCCAAAUAAAUGAUGAUCUACGAAGUGCCUUACAAAGAAAAAUAAUAAUCGUCUUAAAGAAGCUUAGUGAACUAUUAGGCAGACAACUAAACAAAAUUAGAGAGGCAAUACAUAAACAAAAUGAGAAGUUCAAAAAGAAAUGAAAACCAUAAAACCAAAGAAACAGAAAUCCUGGAUUUGAAGAAUACAAUAACUAAACUGAAAAAAAAUUAAUAGAGGGCUUCAACAAAUGACCCAAUUAAGCAGAAGAAAGAAGUAGUUACCUUGAAGACAGGUCAUUUAAAUUAUGUAGUCAGAGAAGCUAAAAGGAUAAAGAAUGAAAAACACCGAAGAACCCCUACAGGACAUAUGAGACACCAUCAAGUAGUUCAAUAUACACAUUAUGAGAGUCUCUGAAGGAGAAAAGAAAGAGAAGGGGAGAAAAAAGUGUUUUCAAGGUUAUGAAGAAAUUGGAAUUCUUGUACACUGUUGGUGAGAAUGUAAAAUGGUAUAGCCACUAAGAAAAACCAGUAUGUAGGUCCCUCAAAGAAAUAAAAAUAAAACUUCCGUAUGAUCCAGUAAUCCCACUUCUAGGUGUAUAUCUGAAAGAAUUGAAAUCAGGAACUUGAAAUGAUAUCUGUACUCCCAUGUUCCUUCCAGCAUUAUUCACAAUAGUUAAGGUAUGGAGUUGUUACUAUUAUAAAUGGAUAUAAAGUUACAGUUAUACAGUAUGAGUAAGUUCCAGAAUUCUGCUGUACAACAUAAUGCCUGUAGUUAACAAUAAGGUAUUGUGCACUUUAAAAGGUAGUACAAGGAUAGAGCUCAUGUUAAGUGUUCUCAUCACAAAUUUUAAAAAAAGAAACAAAAAAUAAAGUGGCACAUGGAAACUUUUGGAUGUGAUGAAUAUAUUGAUUACCUUGAUUGUGGCAAGGUAACACUGGUAUAUGCAUAUGUUUGAACUCACCAAAUUGUACACACUAUGUGCAGUUUUGUGCACCAAAUAUACCUCAAUAACUUUGGGGAAAAUUAAAUUUAUUUUUUAAAAAAGUUUAGAUCAGGUCAUGUACAAUUGCCCUAACUGGGAGAUGAUUUGUCCAUAAGCCAUUUUUAAUAUCUCAUGACUCAACAUACAGCAACAGCUAAGAUUGGCUUAAUGGUUCACCACACACUCCUUUAGAUGGUCACAGAAUUGGAAGGAACCAGAAUGAACUAUGAAUAUGAAAAUCCAUCAAUAAUUUACAAAAUAGCCUUUAAAUUCUUUAUUGCUGAUUUUAUAACUAUUUUACUUUUUAUUUUAUUUAUAAGAGAAAAUUGUGUUGAUACAUGAGGAACGUUCCUCACUAUUUGACUAUGGCUUCAUCAUAGCAUAUGUUAGUCUGCUAGUAUCAGAAAAUUUGUGUGACACCUGCAAACUAAUCAGAGUUUCUAGGUUAAAGGGUGUGUCAGACACUCUGGAUAAAGUUCUUUCUCUGGAUUAAACUAGAAAUCUCAGGACCUGUAUAUUCUAACAUCUUGUUCAGUAGGGAAAAAUGGUAUGGGUGGUGGGAAGAGGCCAUUGAGUACAACUAGUCUCAUACAACUAGAGCCAGGUUUCCUAAUGAAAAUUGCAAUGUUAGGAUGUUCUCCACUUUACUAAAAGUCAUAAGUUUUAGAAAGUUAUUUCUUUUUCGGAGUCAUAUCUUCCUCCCUGAGAGUUCCAUUCCAUUAUCCUAAAGUUUCUCUGGAACCACUCAAAGUAGCUUCACUCUCUCUGAGAGAAAACUCUUUAAUAUUUGACAGUUUUUAUCAUUGCCUUCAGUGUCUUCUGUUCUCCAAAGAAGACACAUAUAACAAUGAGGCUAAACUAACCAGCUUCAACAGAAAGGUCUUAGAAAUGAUGCCAGUAUAUUUAUUGGCUUAAUAUAGACACAAUUAUCCAUUCUGAGCAGAGAUGACAAAAUUACAUCUUUGACAGAGCAAAGUUCUUCAUAAGGGGACCACUUGUGGGCAAAUUUUGGGAUGUAUGUACCCUUGUUUAUUUUUACUUCACUUUUAUCAUAUUUUCAGAUGGACUUUAUUACUCAAAAAGACUAAGAAUAAUUGACUUGUUGAAGACUUUAUUAUAAACAUAUUGCACAGUUCUCCUUGGUCACAUUAUAAGAACAUUUGGGUAUGUCUGUGACUCAUCAGUGAUUAUCAGUGGGCAAAUGUGAACAACUACUGUGGUAUCUUCAGCAAAGUCCUGCAGCCUCACAUAAAUAAAUGAAAGGAAAAACUGGGGAAGGAAAGAAGAGAAAGCAAAGGAAAAAAGGAAGGAAG